AGUGAACGCUGGCGGUAGGCCUAACACAUGCAAGUCGAACGGCAGCACAGUAAGAGCUUGCUCUUACGGGUGGCGAGUGGCGGACGGGUGAGGAAUACAUCGGAAUCUACUUUUUCGUGGGUGAUAACGUAGGGAAACUUACGCUAAUACCGCAUACGACCUACGGGUGAAAGCAGUGGAUCUUCGGACCUUGCGCGAUUGAAUGAGCCGAUGUCGGAUUAGCUAGUUGGCGGGGUAAAGGCCCACCAAGGCGACGAUCCGUAGCUGGUCUGAGAGGAUGAUCAGCCACACUGGAACUGAGACACGGUCCAGACUCCUACGGGAGGCAGCAGUGGGGAAUAUUGGACAAUGGGCGCAAGCCUGAUCCAGCCAUACCGCGUGGGUGAAGAAGGCCUUCGGGUUGUAAAGCCCUGUUGUUGGGAAAGAAAAGCAGCAGGUUAAUACCCCGCUGUUCUGACGGUACCCAAAGAAUAAGCACCGGCUAACUUCGUG
rnacentral:rRNA from 1 species